rnacentral:rRNA from 1 species
UACGUAGGGUCCGAGCGUUGUCCGGAAUUACUGGGCGUAAAGAGCUCGUAGGUGGUUUGUCGCGUUGUUCGUGAAAACUCACAGCUCAACUGUGGGCGUGCGGGCGAUACGGGCAGACUAGAGUACUGCAGGGGAGACUGGAAUUCCUGGUGUAGCGGUGGAAUGCGCAGAUAUCAGGAGGAACACCGGUGGCGAAGGCGGUUCUCUGGGCAUGUCCUGACGCUGAGGAGCGAAAGUGUGGGGAGCGAACAGG